GAGUUUGAUCCUGGCUCAGAACGAACGCUGGCGGCAGGCUUAACACAUGCAAGUCGAACGCGUGUAGCAAUACACGAGUGGCGCACGGGUGAGUAACGCGUGGAUAUCUGCCUUUUGGUUCGGAAUAACCCCGGGAAACUGGGGCUAAUACCGGAUGGUUCCUUCGGGAUAAAGAUUUAUCGCCAAAAGAUGAGUCCGCGUCCGAUUAGCUAGUUGGUGAGGUAACGGCUCACCAAGGCGACGAUCGGUAGCUGGUCUGAGAGGACGAUCAGCCACACUGGGACUGAGACACGGCCCAGACUCCUACGGGAGGCAGCAGUGGGGAAUAUUGGACAAUGGGGGCAACCCUGAUCCAGCCAUGCCGCGUGAGUGAUGAAGGCCUUCGGGUUGUAAAGCUCUUUUGGCGGGGACGAUGAUGACGGUACCCGCAGAAUAAGCCCCGGCUAACUUCGUGCCAGCAGCCGCGGUA
rnacentral:rRNA from 1 species